rnacentral:rRNA from 1 species
UACGAAGGGGGCGAGCGUUGUUCGGAAUUACUAGGCGUAAAGGGCGCGCAGGCGGCUCUGAAAGUCAGAUGUGAAAGCCCCGGGCUUAACCUGGGAAUUGCAUUUGAUACUCUGGAGCUUGAGUACGGGAGAGGAGAGUGGAAUUCCCAGUGUAGAGGUGAAAUUCGUAGAUAUUGGGAAGAACACCGGUGGCGAAGGCGGCUCUCUGGACCGUAACUGACGCUGAGGCGCGAAAGCGUGGGGAGCAAACAGG